rnacentral:rRNA from 1 species
CACGUAGGCGGCUCUUUAAGUCAGGGGUGAAAUCCUGGAGCUCAACUCCAGAACUGCCUUUGAUACUGAGGAGCUCGAGUCCGGGAGAGGUGAGUGGAACUGCGAGUGUAGAGGUGAAAUUCGUGGAUAUUCGCAAGAACACCAGUGGCGAAGGCGGCUCACUGGCCCGGUACUGACGCUGAGGUGCGAAAGCGGUGGGGAGCAAACA